AAUAUUGGACAAUGGUCGAGAGCCUGAUCCAGCCAUGCCGCGUGUGUGAAGACUGUCGUCUGUUUGUAAAUCACUUUUAGUAGGGAGGAAGGUCAGUAAGUUAAUACCUUGCUGUUUUGAUGUUACCGACAGUAUAAGCACCGGCUAACUUCGUCCCUGCAGCCGCGGUAAUACGAAGGGUGCAAGCGUUAAUCGGAAUUACUGGGCGUAAAGCGUGCGCAGGCGGUUGAUUAAGACAGGCGUGAAAUCCCCGGGCUUAACCUGGGAACUGCGCUUGUGACUGGUCAGCUAGAGUACGGCAGAGGGGGGUGGAAUUUCCUGUGUAGAGGUGAAAUGCGUAGAUAUAGGAAGGAACAUCAGUGGCGAAGGCGACCACCUGGACUGAUACUGACACUGAGGUGCGAAAGCGUGGGGAGCAAACAGG
rnacentral:rRNA from 1 species